AUUGAACGCUGGCGGCAGGCCUAACACAUGCAAGUCGAGCGGAUGAAGGGAGCUUGCUCCUGGAUUCAGCGGCGGACGGGUGAGUAAUGCCUAGGAAUCUGCCUGGUAGUGGGGGAUAACGUCCGGAAACGGGCGCUAAUACCGCAUACGUCCUGAGGGAGAAAGUGGGGGAUCUUCGGACCUCACGCUAUCAGAUGAGCCUAGGUCGGAUUAGCUAGUUGGUGGGGUAAAGGCCUACCAAGGCGCCGAUCCGUAACUGGUCUGAGAGGAUGAUCAGUCACACUGGAACUGAGACAUGGUCCAGACUCCUACGGGAGGCAGCAGUGGGGAAUAUUGGACAAUGGGCGAAAGCCUGAUCCAGCCAUGCCGCGUGUGUGAAGAAGGUCUUCGGAUUGUAAAGCACUUUAAGUUGGGAGGAAGGGCAGUAAGUUAAUACCUUGCUGUUUUGACGUUACCAACAGAAUAAGCACCGGCUAACUUCGUG
rnacentral:rRNA from 1 species